rnacentral:rRNA from 1 species
CCCUUAGAUGUCCGGGGCCGCACGCGCGCUACACUGAAGGAAUCAGCGUGGCUUUCUCCCUGACCCGAAAGGGUUGGGAAACCCGUUGAAUCUCCUUCGUGAUAGGGAUUGGGGCUUGAAAUUGUUCCCCAUGAACGAGGAAUUCCCAGUAAGCGCGAGUCAUAAGCUGGCGUUGAUUACGUCCCUGCCCUUUGUACACACCGCCCGUCGCUACUACCGAUUGAACGGUUUAGUGAGGGCCUCGGAUUGGUCUCGGCCCGCUCUUUACCGGGCGGCGCCGUUGGUCGAGAAGACGCUCGAACUUGAUCGUUUAGAGGAAGUAAAAGUCGUAACA